GUGAGGAAUAUUGCGCAAUGGAGGCAACUCUGACGCAGCCAUGCCGCGUGCAGGAAGAAGGCGCUACGCGUUGUAAACUGCUUUUAACCGGGAAGAAACCCCAGGACGUGUCCUGGGUUGACGGUACCGGAGGAAUAAGCACCGGCUAACUUCGUGCCAGCAGCCGCGGUAAUACGAAGGGUGCAAGCGUUAUCCGGAUUCAUUGGGUUUAAAGGGUGCGUAGGCGGAGCGUUAAGUCAGUGGUGAAAUCCUGCAGCUUAACUGUAGACUUGCCAUUGAUACUGGCGCUCUUGAGUGCGCUUGAAGUGGGCGGAAUGUGCCGUGUAGCGGUGAAAUGCUUAGAUAUGGCACAGAACACCAAUUGCGAAGGCAGCUCACUAAGGCGAUACUGACGCAGAGGCACGAAAGCGUGGGGAUCGAACAGGAUUAGAAACCCGGGUAGUCC
rnacentral:rRNA from 1 species